GGAUGUGAGGCUGAUCUGACUGUGACAUCCAUCACCCUACAGAUGGCCAGUGUUGAGUCCAUGGUUCUGGCUGACUAGGUAGGUGUCCCCUUUCUCCCUCACGGCUCCAUGCAAGUCCCUCCCGAAGCUGCACGCUCAUCACUGGCCUUCCCCGAUAGAGGAGGACUGUUCUUUGGUCAAAGGUAUAUAGUAGCUGUGCUCCCCUGUAGAGCCCCAAACAAGCUCUCAAGGUCCACUGUGGGGGGACGUAGGGUGACCCAGCUUCCAAGACUCCAGACACAUCCAAAUGAGGCACCGCAUGUGGCCGUCUGCCUUAAAAA
rfam:Ailuropoda melanoleuca scaffold1264_104, whole genome shotgun sequence.